AAGUAGGCAUCCAGAAAUACGUUUUAAUAAUUAAAAACUUACGUUAAAAAUACUCAUUUAUUUUGGAAGCAAAAAAAAAAGUAAAUGCAUUUACUAUUUUAGGGUUGCAUCGCACUUUCUAGAAAACAAAGGCAGAUGACUGAAAGCAUUUCAAUUGACUGAACAAAGCAGCUGAGAAACAUUUCCAAAGUACAGUCACGCCUAGUUGUACUAAGUACAGUUGGAACAAGAAACAACUUUGAACGGGGUAUUCCCAAAUACAUACCUACGCAGGAAUACAUGUGAUCAAUCAUAAAGGAACAUACCUGCAAAGAUAAAAGUGUACUUUAAGUUCAUUAAAAAUUACAACGCACUUAAAAAAUUUGCUCACUUACGCCUCAUUUAACCAAAUUAAAAGUAAACACGAGCGCGAAAUUACCAACGUAACGUUUCGAGAAUGCUAAGAGAAAGGCGCAGAGAACAAAGAAAAUUUCUCUGUCUGUAUGUGUGUGUGUUUGUGUGAGAGUGUCUGGUUCUCUAUCUCUCUCACUCUCUCUGUGUUUAAUCAGCGCAUGGAAGCCGCCGCAAAAAGUAUGCAAUGGCAAAUUAUGAAAAGUGUAAACAAAACGGAACGCGAAAGUCGAAAGUGACACGCAAAAAAAAUAAAGCGAAUAACUGUAAUGAUUAUUGAGAUGAUGUUGAUACGAAGAUUGAUGACAUGCUGAUAUGAAUCAAAUCAAAAACAAAAUGUGUAUAAAAUGCUUACGAUCAAAGCCAAAUGGCAGCUCUGAAAUGUAAUGAAAAACGGUACAAAACGAAAACCUUUUGUGUACGAAUCCGCUGAAUAUAGUCGAAUACAAUCGAAAGAGCUCUCUAAACUCUUAACUGAGUAAAUGAAGAGGACUUCUUGAAUAUACCACAAAUAAUCGAUAAACAUAAGCUAAAUGACUUAUGAGAAACUCAGUGCUACAUAGGGAUCUACUAAUUCCUAUAGUCUCAGGAGACAGAGCUCUAGACACGUGGACUGGCAGCGCAUCCAAGUCAACUUCGCUGUAAACAACAACAGGCGAAGGCUAAAGAGAUCAAGAUAAGCUUAAAUAAAAUAGAAUUAGUAGUAAUGAAGUCACUGCUCAAGAGUUAAGGCUUUGAGCUAAACGCCCCGCACAGUCUGAGGAAAUAAGCGGCAUCAAUUGAACGUAAUAAAAAAUGUUAUGCCUUGAACUAAUUUUACUCAUUGAAAGCUCAACUAAAUUUUUCAUAUAAUUUCCAUCAAGAUCAAUCAAUCAAUUAUUUGUGCACAGCAAAGUAUACUAAAAAUACUACAAAUCAAAUAAAAAUUUUCGCAAUACCUUCAACUAA